rnacentral:rRNA from 1 species
GACGAACGCUGGCGGCGUGCUUAACACAUGCAAGUCGAACGCUGAAGACCUGGCUUUUGUUGGGUUGGAUGAGUGGCGAACGGGUGAGUAACACGUGAGUAACCUGCCCUCUUCUUUGGGAUAACGCCCGGAAACGGGUGCUAAUACUGGAUAUUCACUGAUCUUCGCAUGGGGGUUGGUGGAAAGGUUUGUUCUGGUGGGGGAUGGGCUCGCGACCUAUCAGCUUGUUGGUGGGGUGAUGGCCUACCAAGGCUUUGACGGGUAGCCGGCCUGAGAGGGUGACCGGUCACAUUGGGACUGAGAUACGGCCCAGACUCCUACGGGAGGCAGCAGUGGGGAAUAUUGCACAAUGGGCGAAAGCCUGAUGCAGCGACGCCGCGUGAGGGAUGGAGGCCUUCGGGUUGUAAACCUCUUUCGCUCAUGGUCAAGCCGCAACUGUGGGUUGUGGUGAGGGUAGUGGGUAAAGAAGCGCCGGCUAACUACGUG